UUACGGCCACAUCGCGUUGAAACACCGGUUGCCGUACGAUCACCGAAGUUAAACAAUGUCGAACCUGGUCAGACGUUGGGCGACGGCUUGGGAAUACCAGGUGCUGUAAG